rnacentral:rRNA from 1 species
GUCUAUGGCCAUGCUACCCUGAACAAGCCUGACCCCAUUUGAUCUAGGAAGCUAAGCAGGGCUGGGCCUGGUUAGUACUUUAAUGGGAGACCCCACCAAGGAAGGCCAGGUGCUGUAGGCA